GUUUGUGUGUCUCUGUCUUUCCCAAGAACUUAGCUUUGUCUUAAACUCCGUAUAAGCUCUCCUGCAGUCCCUUCACUCUCUCUUCUUGGUCACUGAAGAAAAUCAAGAAAUGAGCAGGGAAAGCAUAGAAGAAGGAGCUACCUCAAGCCCUCUGCUUCUCAAUGAUAGAUCUCAGAUACGUGGACGAGACGAUGCCAGUCUUGGUGGAGAUGGGCAGAGUGGAGGUUCUUCAGCAACAACUGUAGUGGUGAUAAGCACCAUGGUUGCUGUCUCUGGUUCUUAUGUUUUUGGCUCAGCUGUAGGGUAUUCAUCACCCACUCAGUCUGGGAUCAUGAAUGACCUGGGUCUCUCCGUGGCAGAGUACUCACUAUUUGGUUCUAUAUUAACAAUUGGAGCAAUGGUAGGCGCAUUAAUGAGUGGGAAGAUUGCAGAUUACACAGGUCGAAGACUCCUAAUGGGCUUUUCAGAAAUAUUCUGCAUCAUAGGAUGGCUUGCAAUAGCAUUCUCAAAGGUUCUCUUUCCGUGUCUCCUUUCCAUUCACUAUUUCAUUAAUUUGUUCAUUCUCUGUAUGAUUGCCAAAUAGAAUGAUAUAGAAUGAAAGCUUUCAUUUCUUUACAUGCAUGGUUACAAAGAAGUGAACCUUGGAUUGUCUUGGAGACAUUCAUUACUGAAUUCCCAAGGAUAAGCUACCUUUGAACUAAUGCUGAAGAUUUAAGCAAUAGGAUAUUGGAUCAUCUUUAUUGUGCAAAAGCAAUUCUUCUUUCCAGCAGCAUCCACAUUCUUUAGUGGAUGUAAUUUUAAAUGAUCAUAACUAUCAGAGGACAGAUAAAACUAUAAUGAAGUUUUGAAUAGCAUUAUUUUUCUUGGUUUUAGUUUACUUCAUUAACAUUCAAUGCAUGUUGAAAGGCUUCUUGGUGGCUUGAUGUUGGAAGACUGUUGGUAGGAUACGGGAUGGGGCUUCUUUCUUAUGUGGUACCAAUUUAUGUAGCUGAGAUUACGCCCAAGAAUCUGCGAGGAGCAUUCACAACAGCUCAU
rnacentral:misc_RNA from 1 species